rnacentral:lncRNA from 1 species
CAUCCUCCUGCUCCCCCCACUGCCGCCGCCAUCGCUCCUGUACAGCACGGACGCGCCCAGCGAGCCGGGAUCGCGUUUGAAGCGACAUUCACGUCCAAGCCCCGAACUAAAUGGAGGCCGGCAAGCGGGCGGGCUGAGAGCUGAAACCAGCACCUCUGCGCCCGUUCAACGCCAUUCUGGCAUUGGCGCGGCACGGCACGUUAGCAGCGCCGGCCCCCCUGCGGACGCCGCGUGGGCCCGUUCCUGCGCGCAAUACUGCAAGCCUCAUACAUGGCCAACAGUCGACGCAACGCUACGCAAGUGACUCGCAGCUUCUUUUCUCAUUAAGCUGCUUUGCAACAUCCCGCGAGCAAAAAAGUCACAGGUCUUACGCUAGCAAAGUAUUUGUGUCGCGCCCAGGGCCCCUGGCCGCGCCCUAGCGAAACCCUACCCGGCCUGGUGCCAACGGGGCCUGAGGGCGAGCGCCGAGGGGGGCCAGCCAUACAUCCCAUUCAUGUACCUGGUACAGCUAUGUCGCAGGUUCAAAGCGCCCUUACCAGCGCCCUGCCCUUACCUUCUGCUCGGUUACGCUCUCGUCCUCUCUUACGCAUCAACCCUGGUCAUCACAACCUGCCGUAGCACAGCUGCACAGCCCGCAGCGUACAAGGCACGUCUUGUAUCGUUGCAACGCAUGCGCACUGACACAGCUGGGCUAUGAAGCGCUGGUGCGCAUGAAAUCACGUCUAACAAGUCUGCCGAUGCACAUUGUCCAUUCGUCACGCGGCAGAGAGUUGAGCGCGGUGUGGGCUGGGUCGAGGGGAUUUCCAUGGAUAGGAUCCCGUGACCGAAGUAUCAGAACAGGACCGCUGAUGGCACGGAGUGAUAGUGCUCGUCAAAAGGAGUCGAUUGACACCACUUCGGUAUUAAAUGGAGGGGUUUUACCCCCCUAAACAACGUGAAACAACAAGGUUGUGUCCGUGAGGGGGUCGGUCGUCCCCUCAAUGGGGCCCUGGGGGAUUUCGGGGCAUGGGGUUUGGCACUCUGUUUCCUAACCCCCCGUGGCUACGGUAACCUUUUUGUCUCCACGGGGGAUUGCGGGAGACCGGGAGUGCUGGGUCCUAGGC